GGUCCCUAAGGCACAAACCUGAGAUGGAUCAUGCUACUAUUGACCGCUUGGUUCUCCAUAUCUCAGAAGCAUGGCUUGAUGAGCGGGUGCAAAUGAAACUGGCAGAAGCUCAAAAUGAUCUUACAGAAAAGAAUACAAUUGUUGACAAGUUAAGUCUAGAUAUAGAAACCUUUCUCGAAGCUCGACACUCCAAUGAAUUGAAGAAAGAUGGUAAUUUUGUUAACGAGGCAAUAAAAAAUUGCGCACGGCGGG
rnacentral:misc_RNA from 1 species